rnacentral:tRNA from 1 species
GCUUCUUUAGUAUCGAUCAGUACAAUUGACUUCCAAUCAAUAAGCUCCGGCGCAGUCCAGAAAGAAGCA